rnacentral:rRNA from 1 species
GACGAACGCUGGCGGCGUGCUUAACACAUGCAAGUCGAACGGAAAGGCCCUGCUUUUGUGGGGUGCUCGAGUGGCGAACGGGUGAGUAACACGUGAGUAACCUGCCCUUGACUUUGGGAUAACUUCAGGAAACUGGGGCUAUUACCGGAUAGGACUCCUUCUUCAUUGGUGGGGGUGGAAAGGUUUCGGCGGUUGGGGAUGGACUCGCGGCUUAUCAGCUUGUUGGUGGGGUAGUGGCUUACCAAGGCUUUGACGGGUAGCCGGCCUGAGAGGGUGACCGGCCACAUUGGGACUGAGAUACGGCCCAGACUCCUACGGGAGGCAGCAGUGGGGAAUAUUGCACAAUGGGCGGAAGCCUGAUGCAGCAACGCCGCGUGCGGGAUGACGGCCUUCGGGUUGUAAACCGCUUUCGCCUGUGACGAAGCGUGAGUGACGGUAAUGGGUAAAGAAGCACCGGCUAACUACGUG